rnacentral:sRNA from 1 species
CCCGGAAGGACCCUCAGGGCCCGCAGUUUACAGGGUGAAAGUCUCCCAGCUCCUCUGGGAAGGGAGGAGGAGGGUUCUCGGUGAGCGGCUGCCCCCUCGUCCAGGUGACCGACGGCUGCGGGAGCCCCCUGCACCGGCUGCGCUCGCCUUUGCACUCAGGCCCGGGGUCCCCGGCCGGGGGCUCUUUCUGCUUGGAUCCUCCGGGGUUGCGGCGCAGCCUGGACGAGGACGAGCCGCCGCCCUCGCCGCUCACACGCUACCGGCCCCUGCACAACGCUGCGUCGCACGAGGGCCUGGCCGCCGCCUCCUGCUCUCCGCCGCGCUCCGCGCCCUCCUCCGACAGCUCCCCCAGCUUCGUGCGCCGCCACCCGCGCGCAGAGCCGCACAGCGAAGAUGACAGCCGCGAUGCCAGUCCUCCCGAGCCCGCCAGCCCCACCAUCGGCCUGGAUAAGAAGACUCGCCGAAAGUUCCUGGACCUGGGGGUCACCCUGCGCCGAGCAUCCACGGGCAAGAGCCGGAAGGAGAAAGGCAGCAACCGCCUGUCCAUGGGCAGCAGGGAGUCAGUGGAGGGGUCCGGCAGGUCAGGGGGCUCCCCGUUCCUGCCUUUUUCCUGGUUCACAGACAGCGGCAAGGGCUCAGCAUCCUCGGGUAGCACCACCUCCCCUACCUGCUCCCCUAAACACGAGGGCUUCAGCCCUAAGAAGUCAGCUUCCCAGGAAUCCACUCUGAGUGAUGACUCCACGCCCCCCAGCAGCAGCCCCAAGAUCCCCAGUGGGCCCCGGCAGGAGGCCAAAUGUUCUUACCCCUACCACACACUGUCUCAGUCUUCAGACGAGUUCCUGGAUGAACCCCUCCCCCCUGUCCACCAUUGGACCAGCCAGCAGGUGGGCCAGUGGCUGCAGAGCCUCAACCUGGAACAGUAUGCUGCCGAGUUUGCUGCACGGCAGGUAGACGGGCCGCAGCUGCUGCAGCUGGACGGAAGCAAACUAAAGAGCCUGGGGCUCAGCAACUCGCAUGACCGGGCACUGGUGAAGCGCAAGUUGAAGGAGAUGGCAGCGGCUGCCGAGAAGGAGCGCAAGGCCCAGGAGAAGGCUGCGCGGCAGCGGGAGAAGCUCCGGCGCCGAGAGCAGGAGGCCAAGAAGAGCUAGGGGAGGGUGCACAGGCGCUGGCGCCCGGCAGGGGCAGCCACUGGCUCCGCGGGCACAGGCCUCACCAGGGAGGCUGGACCUGGGCACUGCACUUGGGCUAGCCUGGUCCCACGCUCUCAGGGGGGACAUGCCCUCUCUUACCCUGUCACUUGGUCUAGACCCAGAGCCCCCAGAAAGGGAGACCCCAGGGAGAGGGCCUAGUAAUAAAUCCUAUUUUGAGGACUUGUUUGGCACAGAGUUCCUGGGGGAGGAGCAGAUGAAGGGGAGAGGGCAGAGAGGCCAGGGCUGAGGCAAGUCUAGGAGCCUGGGUCAGGCUGUCCCAUUGCCCUCAGGCCAUCGUGGGGCUGGGGUGGAGGGGAGCUAGGAGGCCUGCCUGCCUGCUUGCCUGCCAGAGGCCCUGAGGCCGGGCCCCAGGGCUCCGAGCUGGGCUGGGCAUUUCAGCAGGGCCCGGUGUGGGAGCGGCUCCUCUCCACUCUCCCAGGGGGCUGUGUGGUGGGAGAGCUCUGUCCUGCUCCCACAGGAGGCCAGUGGGCACUGCAGCAAGUCGCACUCAGGGUAGACUCCCAGCCAAACUCCUCAACAGGAGAGCAGAGAAAGCAGCCUGGGGCGAGUGCAGUCUUUGCCAGGACUCAAGAGGAGAGGAUGAACACCCCCUUCUCCCUCUCCCCUCCUCUGUCCUGUGGGUCCCAGGGGGUGAGAUGACAUCCACACAGGUCUGCCUCUCAGGGCCCAUUCAAGACCCGGUCUUUGACCCAUUCUCCAAGCCAGGACUCCCUUCACUUCCUGCUGCUUCCUCAGAGGGCACCUAAGCCCUCUUUGGGAGCUGAGCAAACAGGAACUGAUAGGGACAGAGGACACCACUUCCACCAGCCAAAGCCUAGGAGCUGCUGACCUGGUCAGCCCUCACCCCAGCCAGGCAGAGAGGCAAAACCUGGGGGUCCCUGGCAGCUACGAGAUUGGAAAGGUUCAUCAGCUCUCCCCCAUCUGCCCCAGGCAUUGUCAGGGAAUCAGUGGGCUCAGAACUGGCAGACGGUGCAAGCUCUGCUUCCCUGGGCCACACUGAGGGCUGGGGCCAGCUCCCUGGAUGGGGGUGGAGUUUACCAGCAGCCUGGGGACAGCAUGUGUCCUUUUUAGGAAAUGUCCUUGGAGGAAGUGUUCAUGUGUGGCGCUGGUCAGCAGCUAGCUCCGCUUCCAGGACACUGGUCAGAGUUACCGAUGAGGCCAGGGGGCUCCUGCUUGGAAACCCCUCCAGCUCCUCCCAUCUGCCCAGAGCGACAGAUGGCACCAAUGCAUGCUGGCUCCCUCAUUCCUGCCCAGGGGCUGUGGCUUAUGGCCAGCACCCUGUACCUGGGACUCAGCCCUUAUCCCCCCUCUGCUAUCUGUGCUGGGAGAGGGGGCUUCGGCGGGAAACAGAUAUGAGGACACUGGCACCAUCUGGGCCUGGUGGCAGGGCCAUGGGAGGUUGGAAGGCACCCACAUCCUUAAAGCCAUCAGUAGCUAUAGUGGGUGCCCACCUGCAUGUGAAGGGGAGGCAGUUCUCAAUUUAUUUCAAUAA